AACGAACGCUGGCGGCAUGCCUAACACAUGCAAGUCGAACGAGCUCUUCGGGUCUAGUGGCGCACGGGUGAGUAACGCGUGGGAACCUGCCCUUAGGUUCGGAAUAACUCCCCGAAAGGGGUGCUAAUACCGGAUAAUGUCUUCGGACCAAAGAUUUAUCGCCUUUGGAUGGGCCCGCGUUGGAUUAGCUAGUUGGUAGGGUAAAAGCCUACCAAGGCGACGAUCCAUAGCUGGUCUGAGAGGAUGAUCAGCCACACUGGGACUGAGACACGGCCCAGACUCCUACGGGAGGCAGCAGUGGGGAAUAUUGGACAAUGGGCGAAAGCCUGAUCCAGCCAUGCCGCGUGAGUGAUGAAGGCCUUAGGGUUGUAAAGCUCUUUUACCCGGGAUGAUAAUGACAGUACCGGGAGAAUAAGCCCCGGCUAACUCCGUG
rnacentral:rRNA from 1 species